rnacentral:rRNA from 1 species
UAGGGAAUAUUGGGCAAUGGGCGGAAGCCUGACCCAGCCAUGCCGCGUGCGGGAAGAAGGCCCUUUGGGUCGUAAACCGCUUUUCCGGGGGAAGAAAAGGCCCGUGCGCGGGACAUUGCCGGUACCCCGGGAAUAAGCACCGGCUAACUCCGUGCCAGCAGCCGCGGUAAUACGGAGGGUGCGAGCGUUGUCCGGAUUUAUUGGGUCUAAAGGGUGCGUAGGCGGCCCGAUAAGUCAGCGGUGAAAGACCCCGGCUCAACCGGGGGGUUGCCGUUGAUACUGUCGGGCUUGGGUACGGUCUGGGUACAUGGAAUUGGUGGUGUAGCGGUGAAAUGCAUAGAUACCAUCAGGAACACCGAUAGCGUAGGCAUUGUACUGGUCCGUCACCGACGCUGAUGCA